rfam:Myotis davidii contig66099, whole genome shotgun sequence.
CAUGCAUCGGUGGGGUCCCUCGGCCUGGCCUGCACCCUCUCACAACCUGGGACCCUUAGGGGGAUGUCAGAGAGCUGGUUUCGGCCCGAUCCUGCAGGCCAGGCCAAGGGACCCCACUGGUGCACG